CCUACGGGGGGCAGCAGUGGGGAAUAUUGCACAAUGGGGGAAACCCUGAUGCAGCGACGCCGCGUGAGCGAAGAAGUAUUUCGGUGUGUAAAGCCCUAUCAGCAGGGAAGAAAAUGACGGUACCUGACCAAGAAGCUCCGGCUAAAUACGUGCCAGCAGCCGCGGUAAUACGUAAGGAGCAAGCGUUAUCCGGAUUUACUGGGCGUAAAGGGAGCGUAGGCGGCCUGCCAAGUCUGAUGGGAAAUACCAGGGCCCAACCCCGGGGCUGCAUUGGAAACUGGCUGGCUGGAGUGCCGGAGAGGCAGGCGGAAUUCCUAGUGUAGCGGUGAAAUGCGUAGAUAUUAGGAGGAACACCAGUGGCGAAGGCGGCCUGCUGGACGGUAACUGACGCUGAGGCUCGAAAGCGUGGGGAGCAAACAGGAUUAGAUACCCGAGUAGUC
rnacentral:rRNA from 1 species